CACGUAGGGUGCAAGCGUUAUCCGGAUUCACUGGGUUUAAAGGGUGCGUAGGUGGGUAAGUAAGUCAGUGGUGAAAUCUCCGGGCUUAACCCGGAAACUGCCAUUGAUACUAUUUGUCUUGAAUACUGUGGAGGUCAGCGGAAUAUGUCAUGUAGCGGUGAAAUGCUUAGAUAUCAGGAGGAACACCUGUGGUGUAGACAGCUUACUGGACCAUAACUGACGCUGAGGCACGAAAGCGUGGGUAGCAAACAGG
rnacentral:rRNA from 1 species